rnacentral:rRNA from 1 species
AACGCUAGCUACAGGCUUAACACAUGCAAGUCGAGGGGAAACGACAUCGAAAGCUUGCUUUUGAUGGGCGUCGACCGGCGCACGGGUGAGUAACGCGUAUCCAACCUGCCCACCACUUGGGGAUAACCUUGCGAAAGUAAGACUAAUACCCAAUGAUAUCCCACGAAGGCAUCCGAAUGGGAUUAAAGAUUUAUCGGUGAUGGAUGGGGAUGCGUCUGAUUAGCUUGUUGGCGGGGUAACGGCCCACCAAGGCAACGAUCAGUAGGGGUUCUGAGAGGAAGGUCCCCCACAUUGGAACUGAGACACGGUCCAAACUCCUACGGGAGGCAGCAGUGAGGAAUAUUGGUCAAUGGGCGAGAGCCUGAACCAGCCAAGUAGCGUGCAGGAUGACGGCCCUAUGGGUUGUAAACUGCCUUUAUAAGGGAAUAAAGUGAGUCUCGUGAGACUUUUUGCAUGUACCUUAUGAAUAAGGACCGGCUAAUUCCGUGCCAGCAGCCGCGGUAAUACGGAAGGUCCGGGCGUUAUCCGGAUUUAUUGGGUUUAAAGGGAGCGUAGGCCGGAGAUUAAGCGUGUUGUGAAAUGUAGGCGCUCAACGUCUGCACUGCAGCGCGAACUGGUUUCCUUGAGUACGCACAAAGUGGGCGGAAUUCGUGGUGUAGCGGUGAAAUGCUUAGAUAUCACGAAGAACUCCGAUUG